GUAAUAUGGAAGUGAAGCUUUCUGCUCAAACACCAUUUGAUCCAGAUUUCAUUUAAGGGCUAGGACAUGUUAACACAACACAGGGCUGAGUACUGUUAUCUCUCACUGGACAUUAUUAAAUUAUAUUAAUAUCUGAUAGCUUCUAACUAUCUAGAUGCUAUCUAGCUAAAUGUAUAGCAGUCAGCUAAUAAUGACUCUUUAUUGGUCACCUAUACAUUAUAGCACAGUGAAAUUCUUUUCUUUGCAUACCCCAGCAUACUAGGAAUUUGGGGUCAGAGUGCAGGGUCAGCCAUGAUACAGCACCCCCUGGAGCAGAGAGGGUUAAGGGCCUUGCUGAACAGUGGCAGCUUGGCUGCACCAGGGUUUGAACCCCUGACCUUCUGAUCAGUAACCCAGAGCCUUAACCAUCAAGCGACCACUACCCCUUUAAUCCCAGUUAAAGAGCCAUUAUUCUUUCUGUUUUCUAUCUUUUUUUUUUUUUUUACUAGAAAGAAGAACAUGAUCUGUACAAGCUAAAUGGUUAAAACUGCACUAGAACAUAAAUUGAUACUGUAUCUUGAAGGAUGUUGAAUAAUCUAGAACUUUACUGGAAGGACAUUGAAUAUUCUAGAACAUAAAUGGAAGCAUGUUGAACUAGAACUAGAGCUUUACCAUAGGCAUGUUGAAUAUUCUAGAAUGUAAUGGUUGUGUGUUGAAUAUUCUAGAAUGCAAAUGGAAGCGUGUUGAAUAUUCUAGAAUGCAAAUGGUUGUUUGUUGAAUAUUCUGAAUUGUAAACGGAAACCUGUUGAAUAUUCUAGAAUGUAAAUGGAAGCGUGUUGAAUAUUCUAGAAUGCAAAUGGUUGUUUGUUGAAUAUUCUGAAUUGUAAACGGAAACGUGUUGAAUAUUCUAGAAUGUAAAUGGAAGCAUGUUGAAUAUUCUAGAAUGUAAAUGGUUGUCUGUUGAAUAUUCUAGAAUGCAAAUGGAAGCGUGUUGAAUAUUCUAGAAUGCAAAUGGUUGUUUGUUGAAUAUUCUGGAUUGUAAAUGGAAACGUGUUGAAUAUUCUAGAAUGUAAAUAGUUGUGUGUUGAAUAUCCUUGAAUGUAAAUGGUUGUGUGCUAAAUAUUCUAGAAUGUAAAUAGAAUGUGUUUAAUAUUUUUAUUGUAUUCUAGCUGUUAGCUUUGUAUAGUCCGGUGUUUAUUACAGCAGUUACCACCCUACAACUUCUCCCUAACUGCAGGACAAUGAAAAUCAGAUGACAGUGAUCCAGUGCUCAGCUAAUCAGCUAGUCCUAAAUGUAAUAUAAUCUUUAACAGAUUUUUAAAGAAUCUCAUUUAUUUCUACAAGGCCCCAUUUGAUCUGCUGCCAUCUUGAUCCUCAUUUCACCUUAUUUUCUUUUAUCCUUUACUUUAAAGCCUGCGCACUUUUACUGUAACUCAGACCUCUGACUCUGGGGCUUGUUCUGUUUUAAUGAAUGUAUGAAUAUAUGAAUAAAUAAAUCGUUCCAUUUCAGCGCCUUCCAAUAGCCGCUAAGAAGUGUGAUGGCUUUGUGAUUUAUGGGACAUUUGUCUUCUGGUGUGAACCCUUGAAAAGGGGCGUGAUCGAGUGCAGAUUCCCAUUACUGAGCAGUUUCUUCAGGGAGCGAUGAAUAAAUGCAGCGUUUAACCUUUAUUUAAACUUAGUUCCUCCCUCUAGGCUUAACUGCACUCAUCACUACUGAGCCAGCAGACCUUCAUCUAACCUUUAUCUACAAGAUCAAGAGAGCAUUUUAUAAUUAACUUGUUUCGCAGGUUUAACAUAAAAUAAAAAGUCAUUAAAAAAAUUUGCAUUUUUUUUUGUAUAAGAGGAAUAAAACACUUCCGCGCAUGCCGUUACAAGAAAAUAAUCACCUUCAGGGGUGUAUCAGUAACUCUGCUUCAUCGCACCACCACGUCAUUCUUUUUUUUUUUCCUAUAACAGCGUGACAGUGUUUUGUUAUUAUUUACAUAAUCGUUAUCGCUGUACAAUCUUCGCACCACUGAAUAUGCAAAUUCCGAAUAUGCAAAUGAGCACAGAAAGCAAUGUCACAGUGGAGCUCUCUGAAAUUUCUGUGUUGCCAACUGGUAAUUAUGAGUUUGAUGGAGAUGGGAACGGUUUGUUUAAGUUUAAAAUAAUGACUGUAAAUUAUGCAGUUUCAUUAAAUAUUGCACCAACUAUUAUAACAAUGCUAACCAUUCACAAAUCAACCCGACUGAAUGGGCUAACCUUCCAGGACAAGCCAUUACCAAAAACAUCCGGUGUGCUUUUAAUAUAACCGUAAUCACAGUACUUUUAAUAAUGUAUAUAAAAUAUAAUGUUUUGUGCAUAUCAUGUACCAUACUCAGAGUACAGCCACGAGCUGUGUGACAAACUUAUAAGGAAAGAUCCCAGUACAGGAUCUGCGCUUCUGGCUUUUACAUCCUCAUAAACACAAUGGUACAGGAUCUGAAUGGCUGAAUCUACAUAGAUAUAGAUAUCUAGCUAUUACCUUCAGACAUUUAAUGAAUGUGGACAGUACAGAGGACCAUAAUGGUGGUUAUGAAAGAUACCGAUCCAGCCAAUUUGGAGUCCACAAAUGGAAGGGGAUCAUAAGUUUUAAUCGACUAGACACAUAACGCGGGCGAUAAAAUGAAAGCUGUUAAAAGAAAUCAGAUCAUAUUGCAGCCAGUAAAAUGGCUUUUCAAUCAAGCUGUGCGGCUAUUCUGCUUUUCCGACUUGUGUGUUUGGUUGGAUUGUUGUAAGAUGUGUGCAGGAUAUGAUGCUGUCACAUGACACAAAUUAUAUGAUCAAUUGCAGCAAGUUACCUGACAAAAACAUACGUUUGUCG
ensembl:lncRNA